UGUCCAGGGAUGGGGAUCGAACCCACAUUGUUCCCCUUACCAGGCAGAUGCAAUAUCCAAUAGGCUACCCGGCU